rnacentral:rRNA from 1 species
CAGCCACGCUGGGACUGAGACACUGCCCAGACUCCUACGUGAGGCUGCAGUCGAGGAUCAUUCGCAAUGCGCGAAAGCGUGACGAUGCGACGCUGCGUGGAGGAUGACGGCCUUCGGGUUGUAAACUCCUGUCAUUCGGGAAAAACGACUACUGGGUUAAUACCCCAGGAGAGUGAUGGUACCGGAAGAGGAAGCCGCGGCUAACUCUGUGCCAGCAGCCGCGGUAAUACAGAGGUGGCAAGCGUUGUUCGGAUUUACUGGGCGUAAAGGGUGCGUAGGUGGCUCUGUGUGUCGGGUGUGAAAUCCCGCGGCUCAACCGCGGAACUGCAUUCGAAACUGCAGGGCUGGAGUGCAGGAGGGGAGAGCGGAAUUCUUGGUGUAGCGGUGAAAUGCGUUGAUAUCAAGAAGAACACCGGUGGCGAAGGCGGCUCUCUGGAAUGCUACUGACACUGAGGCACGAAAGCUGGGGGAGCGAACAGGAUUAGAUACCCUGGUAGUCCCAGCCGUAAACGGUGUGCACUUGGUGUGGGGAGAUUUGACCCUCCCCGUGCCGGAGCUAACGCGUUAAGUGCACCGCCUGGGGAGUACGGCCGCAAGGCUAAAACUCAAAGAAAUUGACGGGGGCCCGCACAAGCGGAGGAGCAUGUGGCUUAAUUCGAUGCAACGCGAAGAACCUUACCAGGGCUUGACAUCAUGCUGCAAGCCACCCGAAAGGGAGGCCGCCUUCGAGGGUGCAUGACAGGUGCUGCAUGGCUGUCGUCAGUUCGUGCCGUGAGGUGUUGGGUUAAGUCCCGCAACGAACGCAACCCCUGUGUUUAGUUGCCGCUCCGCGGCUUGCCGUGGAAGCACUCUAAACAGACUGCCUGUACAAGCAGGAGGAAGGUGGGGACGACGUCAAGUCAGUAUGGCCCUUACGCCCUGGGCUGCACACGUGCUACAAUGGCUGGUACAGAAGGACGCAAUACCGCGAGGUGGAGCAAAUCCUCAAAACCGGCCCCAGUUCGGAUUGGAGUCUGCAACUCGACUCCAUGAAGUUGGAUUCGCUAGUAACGGCGCAUCAGCUACGGCGCCGUGAAUACGUUCCCGGGCCUUGUACACACCGCCCGUCGCAUCAUGAAAGCCGUCUGCACCCGAAGUCGCUGAGCCAACCCGCAAGGGGGGCAGGUGCCGAAGGUGUGGGUGGUGAUUGGGAUGAAGUCGUAACAAGGUA